UAAAAACGGCUGGGUUAUUUUUUAACCCAAAAUGCUGGGUUGAGUCUGUUGGGUCAUUUUGUUGGGUUAUUUUAUUUAUUUUUAAACACUUUUGGGUAGUUUCAGUUUACCAGGUGUUGGGUUAAACCUGCUGGGUUGCGUCGCUGGGUUGUUUCAGGCCAGCGCUGGGUUAUUUAACGCGCCUUGAAGAUGUUUAAAUUGCUCCCCAACUGUCACUUUGGAAGAACAACGGGGCAAAGCCACGGCUUUCAACUGUUUUAAGGUAAGUUUAUUUAAUGUUUUCAAUAAUAAUUAUUUUAAAUUGGCAGAAUAAUAACUUUUUUUUGCAGCAACAAUACUGUUAAACGUCUACAGACCAACAUUAUUUACGUUAAAUGAUGAACUGUUUACCUCAAACGGCCAACCUACGUUACGCGACUCGCAUAAUUGUGUUAAGGUAUCUGAGACGACAGAUUAAUAAAGUUUUAUUAAGUUUCAGACAGUGACUGAUGGCUGAAAUAUGCGAAUACCUGUGAAAAUAGAGGAAAAAGUAGUUUCUGACACUGAAAAGCGAAUUUGAUAUUUAAGUGAGUCAAAUGAGUUCAAAAAGUGAAUACGACUUUCUGCUCUAAUGUAAACGCCUGCAGUUGUCCAUAUCGACAUUUAAAUCAUACAAAUUACGUACAAUAUAGUCGGACCGCAGGUCUAAAAGAACCGACGACCCGGUUCAAGUAAACCGGUUCAGUAAUUCUCGAACAAAGUGAUUCCCGGAAAAGAAUCGACGUCUCAGGGCAUUUCAAAGUGCGCGCACGCACAGCGAGUGACGUUGGCCGCGUUAGUGAAGUGAUUUGAUGCUUUUGUGGUUUAUAAAGUCUUUUUACAUACAAAUUAUAAUUCAAAAUGUGUUUUUUUUUCCUGUCAGAAAAGCGCAUGGAUACAUUUGUGAGAGAAAAACUCGUCGAGUGCAGUCUUAUUGAGGCGUCUAACGGUUGGAACAAACAUGGAAUUCCUUAACUGAGCAGAGUCCACAAAACCCCAUCCAAUUGUCUUGGCGAUUUAAAAAUGACAGCAGAUCUCUCAGGCAUUGAUCAUAAUCAAUGGACAGGUCACCGUAGCCACCAGAUCCAAUCGGUAUCCAGAUCAGAGGGUCACUGCAGUCACCCGGAUCCAGUACGUAUCCAGACCAGAUGGAGAUCAUCAUCUAGAAAGGACCUCUACUGCCCUGAAAGACAGCGGAGACCAGGACAACUAGAGCCCCAGAUACAGAUCCCCUGUAAAGACCUUGUCUCAGAGGAGCACCAGGACAAGACCACAGGAAACAGAUGAUUCUUCUGCACAAUCUGACUUUGCUGCAGUCUGGAAAUGAACUACUGGUUUCGUCUCGUCAGAGGAGAACUGGCCCCCAAUUGAGCCUGGUUUCUCCAAAGGAUUUUUCUCCAUUCUGUCACCGAUAGAGUUUUGGUUCCUUGUUUUUCUUUAGUUGGGGACAAUUAAUAUCAAGCGAUAUCAUCCACUUGAUUGCACAGAGGGACGAUACAUCACUGAAUCAAUGACGAAUUGACUUUAACUGAAAACUGAGUGUUUACUUUUGUCCCUUUGCAUUAUUACACACUAUUUUCCUAUUUAAUACUGUAAAGCUGCUAUGAUGCAGUAUUUGAUCAAUAUGACAGGCUUAUUACUCAUAAUACAUGGAAAAUACAGCUACAAACUGACUUUGUUUUUCCAUUUGAAAUUUGGCAGUCACUAAACUGAAACCGUAAUUUUUGUUCAGUGUUUUUGAAACAGUGUUUUUGUUCAAGAUUUGCAAUUGUGUUUGGAUUGUCACAAUUUGUCACGUGCAAAACGCAAUUGAAAAUAUAAUUAGCAAUUCCUUUUGAAAAUUGUCCUUCCAUAGACAGGCUCUACAACGGAGUACACUGCUCUCAGGUGUAGAUCUUUGCUUCAGAGCUUAAGUGUUUGACAAUAGUUCACCCAAAAAUGAAAAUUGUCACUAAUUAUUCACCCUGGUCUGAAAGCUCUCGAAUAUCAACGAAAACAUCUUAACUUGUGUUCUGAAGAUGAACGAAGGGCUUACGGGUUUGUAACGACAUGAAGUUGAGUAAUAAAUGACAGAAUUUUCAUUUUUGGGUAAACUAUAUGUUGAACUACCCUAAGCAGUGCACAUCUACCUACGUAGGAGUCUUUAUAUACUUGAUAUAAAUUUAAGGACAUCUUUAAAUGAUUUUACAUUUAAAUUUAAAGAAUGUUAAUUGUCAAUGUCAUUUCACUGUGUAUUUAAAUAGCUAAAAAUCUCAAAAUGUAAUAGUUAAACAGCUAGACACAGGUCAUUCAGAAAUAAUUUUCUUAUUUAUUGCAACUGUAUUUCUGUGAUUUUUAUUUAUUUAUUUUGCAUUUGCUGGAAACAAAAAAAGGGAAAAUUCCAUGUUGUUUGUCAUUGGUAAAUAUUUUUGAAUGUCAGAUGGCAUUAAAAAUAUUUUUUAACAGUCUAAAUAACCUGUAUUCUUCAUUAUUUAUUAGUCCAU